UCCUUCCCUCUGUCAGCAUUAGUGUUUGUUAUCUCCAUCCAUCUCCUCUGUCAGCCUUAAUGUUUGUUUACUCCAUCCUUCUCCUCUAUCAGCCUUAGUGUUUGUUCUCAGCCUUCCCUCUUCAGCCUAGUGUUUGUUGCUCCAUCCUUCUCCUCUGUCAGCCUUAGUGUUUUGUGCUCCAUCCUUCUCCUCUGUCAGCCUAGUGUUUGUUACUCAUCAUCUAUCUCCUCCUUAGUGUUUGUUGCUCCACCAUCUCCUCUGUCAGCCUUAGUGUUUGUUACUCCAUCCAUCUCCCCUUAGUGUUUGUUGCUCCAUCCAUCUCCUCUGUCAGCCUUAGUGGUUGUUGCUCCAUCCAUCUCUCUGUCAGCCUUAGUGUUUGUUCUCCAUCCAUCCCCCUUGGUUUGUUACCCAUCUCUCUCUGUCAGCCUUAGGUUUGUUACUCCAUCCAUCUCAUCUGUCAACCUUAGUGUUUGUUACUCCAUCCAUCUCCCCUUAGUGUUUGUUACUCCAUCCUUCUCCUCUGUCAGCCUUAGUGUUUGUUACUCCAUCCAUCUCCUCUGUCAGCCAGUGUUUGUUACUCCACCCAUUCUCUGUCACCCUUAGUGUGUGUUAUCCACCUCUCCUUGUCAGCCUUAGUGUUGGUACUCCACCCUCCUCUGUCAGCGUGUAGGUGGUCUGUGGGGCCCUGCAGUCUGCA
rnacentral:lncRNA from 1 species